AUGGCCUGGACUCCACUCUUUCUUCUCAGCCUUCUUUACUGCACAGGGUCCCUCUCUCAGCCUGUCCUGACUCAGUCACCUUCUGCAUCUGCCACCCUGGAAACCUUAGUAGAGAUCAAGUGUACCUUGAACAGUGGUUACAGUAGUAACUUUGUGGACUGGUUCCAGCAGAGCCCAGGAAAAGGCAUCAGGUAUAUAAUGUCUGUGGGCUCCAGUGGCAUGGUAGUCUCCUUGGGAGAUGGGAUCCCUGAUCGCUUUACAGGCUCAGCUUUGGGCCUGGAUCGUUUCCUGACAAUUGAGAACAUCCAGGAAGAGGAUGAGGCUGACUACUACUGUGGGACUGCCGAGAGCAGUGAGAGUAGCUAUGUGUAA